CUUCUCUGCAGCUAUCUGCUUGGGAACGGCUGUUUUUCUUGCCAUCCUGCACUACCCUGUGCUGAACAGCAAAUUCAAACCCCUCUGCAACUCUUGCUUUUCAAACUGCUUUGUUUCUGUGCAGAAGAGGCAGGGUGGCUGCCCUGAGCAGCAUGCUUGCAGCACUUCAGUGAGGACUCACACCUGCUCCCUCCUGACUACAAGGCUGCAGCUCUGCAAAGCUGGCUGGGUAAUGUGGCAUCAGAAGAUGCUCCAGAUGCGCAGAGCUCACGGGAGCCCCGAUGACAUGGGAACACAAAUAUCUGCGGCUGCCGCCUCGCACACAAAGUGGUGACUCACAGGUGAAGUCGCCCCAGCUUUGCUGAGGAGGACAGAGAGGGCUGAGGUCUCCAGGGUCCACGGUAACUCCUGAAGGUGGUGGUGUGGCCAGAGGCAGGCCUGCAUCCCGUAUCCUUUCUGUCUUUCAGGUGACAACGAGGAGUGGUGCUGGGAUGCUGGAGAAAUAUAUUCUCUGCAACUCGCUGCAGCUCUGAAAGGCCCAGUGCUGUUCUUUUGUGGAUAACUUGUUUGAAUGCAGACCAUACCCCUGUCUUCUGUGGGAAGGUUGCUUGAACUGGUCAGCCUUCCCUGUGGAGGUCUGGAGAAUCCUGCCCUAUGUCCUCUGCUAUGUCUGUAGAGGUCCUUGCACGAGAUGUAUGUGGAUGGUAGCCCCAUGCCACGCCGGUGAUGCAGCCCUCCUGCCUGAUGGAGAUAUUAAGUCAUCUUGGAUGGGUCUGCGCAUGGGAGGAGUUCCCAUGGUGACAGACAGCAAUUCACCCUGACAGGGCAGGGUGGAUGUUUUGUCCUUUUUAUUCUUUUCUUCUGGAGUCAGGCACCCAGCCAAAGAGCUGAAGGAGCAACGGCACAGCCUCUCGGGGGAGAGUGUUGAUGACAAGUCUGGACUCGUUAACUGUACAAAUCCCUCUGGAGAACAAUUCCCCGUGCCCAGGCUGCAGCCCCGUGGGCAGUGGUGCUCCUGCUCCCUUCUCCUCCAGCAGCCUCUGGCCCUCCAGGCAUGGGGCUGCCUGGCUUUCUCUCCGCCACAUCAGCCAGGCACUACCUGGCACUGGCCAGAGUUUUGUCGUCCUUCCCGUGGAGCGUGGCUGCGGUGUGAAAUGCCCGCUGCAGCUGGGAUUGUUGCUGUGGCUCCUCUCUCCCUAGCAUACUAGCGUAACGCCGGUACGGGAAAGCACGACGGCGUCCUGCCUGUAACGGAGCUUGUGUCAUUUCACAGAACCCAAGACGUGGUCUAGCAAAUGC